rnacentral:rRNA from 1 species
GACGAACGCUGGCGGCGUGCUUAACACAUGCAAGUCGAACGGAAAGGCCCUGCUUUUGUGGGGUGCUCGAGUGGCGAACGGGUGAGUAACACGUGAGUAACCUGCCCUUGACUUUGGGAUAACUUCAGGAAACUGGGGCUAAUACCGGAUAGGAGCUCCUGCUGCAUGGGGGGGGUUGGAAAGUUUCGGCGGUUGGGGAUGGACUCGCGGCUUAUCAGCUUGUUGGUGGGGUAGUGGCUUACCAAGGCUUUGCCGGGUAGCCGGCCUGAGAGGGUGACCGGCCACAUUGGGACUGAGAUACGGCCCAGACUCCUACGGGAGGCAGCAGUGGGGAAUAUUGCACAAUGGGCGGAAGCCUGAUGCAGAAACGCCGCGUGCGGGAUGACGGCCUUCGGGUUGUAAACCGCUUUCGCCUGUGACGAAGCGUGAGUGACGGUAAUGGGUAAAGAAGCACCGGCUAACUACGUG